CGAGCGCCCUUCCAGCCACAAAGAAGGCGCGGCACACAGCUCAGUAACACGCAGCUAACCUGCCCUCGGGACGAGAACACCCCCGGGAAACUGGGGCUAAUUCUCGAUAGGCGAAGAACUCUGGAAUGAGUCUUUACCCAAAAGACGUUUAGAUCAUGCUUCUAGGCGUCGCCCAAGGAUGGGGCUGCGACCGAUCAGGUAGUUGGUGAGGCAAUGGCUCACCAAGCCUUUAACCGGUGCGGGCCGUGGGAGCGGGAGCCCGGAGAUGGGCACUGAGACAAGGGCCCAGGCCCUACGGGGCGCAGCAGUCGCGAAAACUUUGCAAUAAGCGAAAGCUUGACAGGGCUAUCCCGAGUGCCAUCCGCUGAGGAAGGCUUUUACCCAGUCUAGUAAGCUGGGGGAAUAAGGAGAGGGCAAGUCUGGUGUCAGCCGCCGCGGUAAUACCAGCUCUCCGAGUGGUGUGGAUGUUUAUUGGGCCUAAAGCAUCCGUAGCUGGCUGAGUUAGUCCCCUGUUAAAUCCACCGAAUCAAUCGUUGGAUUGCGGGGGAUACUGCUCGGCUAGGGGACGGGAGAGGCAGACGGUAUUUCCGGGGUAAGGGUGAAAUCUUAUAAUCCCGGGAAGACCACCAGUGGCGAAGGCUGUCUGCUAGAACGCGCCCGACGGUGAGGGAUGAAAGCUGGGGUAGCGAACCGGAUUAGAUACCCGGGUAGUCCCAGCCGUAAACGAUGCAGGCUAGGUGUUUGGGCGGCCACGUGCCGCUCUAGUGCCGCAGGGAAGCUGUUAAGCCUGCCGCCUGGGGAGUACGAUCGCAAGAUUGAAACUUAA
rnacentral:rRNA from 1 species